rnacentral:rRNA from 1 species
UACGGAGGGGGCUAGCGUUGUUCGGAAUUACUGGGCGUAAAGCGCACGUAGGCGGCUUUGUAAGUUAGAGGUGAAAGCCCAGGGCUUAACCCUGGAAUUGCCUUUAAGACUGCAUCGCUAGAAUCGUGGAGAGGUAAGUGGAAUUCCGAGUGUAGAGGUGAAAUUCGUAGAUAUUCGGAAGAACACCAGUGGCGAAGGACGACUUACUGGACACGUAUUGAC